UGGCGGCGUGCCUAAUACAUGCAAGUCGAGCGGACAGAUGGGAGCUUGCUCCCUGAUGUUAGCGGCGGACGGGUGAGUAACACGUGGGUAACCUGCCUGUAAGACUGGGAUAACUCCGGGAAACCGGGGCUAAUACCGGAUGCUUGUUUGAACCGCAUGGUUCAGACAUAAAAGGUGGCUUCGGCUACCACUUACAGAUGGACCCGCGGCGCAUUAGCUAGUUGGUGAGGUAACGGCUCACCAAGGCGACGAUGCGUAGCCGACCUGAGAGGGUGAUCGGCCACACUGGGACUGAGACACGGCCCAGACUCCUACGGGAGGCAGCAGUAGGGAAUCUUCCGCAAUGGACGAAAGUCUGACGGAGCAACGCCGCGUGAGUGAUGAAGGUUUUCGGAUCGUAAAGCUCUGUUGUUAGGGAAGAACAAGUGCCGUUCAAAUAGGGCGGCACCUUGACGGUACCUAACCAAGAAAGCCACGAGCUAACUACGUGGCCAGCAGGCCGCGGUAAUACGUAGGUGGCAAGCGUUGUCCGGAAUUAUUGGGCGUAAAAGGGCUCGCAGGCGGUUUCUUAAGUCUGAUGUGAAAGCCCCCCGGCUCAACCGGGGAGGGUCAUUGGAAACUGGGGAACUUGAGUGCAGAAGAGGAGAGUGGAAUUCCACGUGUAGCGGUGAAAUGCGUAGAGAUGUGGAGGAACACCAGUGGCGAAGGCGACUCUCUGCGUCUGUAACUGACGCUGAGGAGCGAAAGCGUGGGGAGCGAACAGGAUUAGAUACCCUGGUAGUCCACGCCGUAAACGAUGAGUGCUAAGUGUUAGGGGGUUUCCGCCCCUUAGUGCUGCAGCUAACGCAUUAAGCACUCCGCCUGGGGAGUACGGUCGCAAGACUGWAAACUCAAAGGAAUUGAACGGCGGGCCCGCACAAGCGGUGGGAGCAUGAUGGUUUGAAUUCGAAGCAACGCGAAGAACCUUAGCCAGGUCUUGGGACGAUCCUCUGACAAUCCUAGAGAUAGGACGUCCCCUUCGGGGGCAGAGUGACAGGUGGUGCAUGGUUGUCGUCAGCUCGUGUCGUGAGAUGUUGGGUUAAGUCCCGCAACGAGCGCAACCCUUGAUCUUAGUUGCCAGCAUUCAGUUGGGCACUCUAAGGUGACUGCCGGUGACAAACCGGAGGAAGGUGGGGAUGACGUCAAAUCAUCAUGCCCCUUAUGACCUGGGCUACACACGUGCUACAAUGGGCAGAACAAAGGGCAGCGAAACCGCGAGGUUAAGCCAAUCCCACAAAUCUGUUCUCAGUUCGGAUCGCAGUCUGCAACUCGACUGCGUGAAGCUGGAAUCGCUAGUAAUCGCGGAUCAGCAUGCCGCGGUGAAUACGUUCCCGGGCCUUGUACACACCGCCCGUCACACCACGAGAGUUUGUAACACCCGAAGUCGGUGAGGUAACCUUUUUGGAGCCAGCCGCCGAA
rnacentral:rRNA from 1 species